UACGGGGGGGGCAAGCGUUGUUCGGAAUUACUGGGCGUAAAGGGCUCGUAGGUGGCCAACUAAGUCAGACGUGAAAUCCCUCAGCUUAACUGGGGAACUGCGUCUGAUACUGGAUGGCUUGAGUUUGGGAGAGGGAUGCGGAAUUCCAGGUGUAGCGGUGAAAUGCGUAGAUAUUGGGAGGAACACCGGUGGCGAAGGCGGCCCCCUGGACCGGUACUGACGCUGAGGCGCGAAAGCGUGGGGAGCAAACAGG
rnacentral:rRNA from 1 species